AUAUGGAUAAUGAUCCAAAUGGGCACAAAUCUCAUUUUGUUGUCUCUUACUAUUUUCAGAAUUUAAAAACCCAACCAACACAUAACUAGUGAGCACAGUGAGACCCAGCCUGUCUAACUGUCUUAACUAUUUAGAGCGUUGGCACGAGACUGUCAGGACUCAUGCCAAUGGAGCCCUCAAGUGGUGGGUAUUGGUUCGUGCCACAUUUUAAUGCACGAACAACAACUGCCUGUUCAAGGUUCUUUCAAAAUGCCCCAUCCUGGAAAUAUCAAUUUAGUUCACCCUGCACUUGUAGCCCAGGCUCAGGCAGAGUUUGGCAUUACCAGUGCUUACUCUUGUGCAUGGUUGAAACCAGGGAGGACGGUUAUCAAUGUCUAUAAUAUUGACGAUGAUGGUUGCUGAAGCUGUGAAAGAGAGUUCACCCGAUUGUGAUGGAGGUAGAGUAUCCUGUUAGAGUCAAGAAUUGUUUGUGUUUUACGUCAGAUCAGGAGAGAAUUUCUGAAAUUAUCACAUUCAAAUGAAACGAUUUUUACAUACCUGCACAUACAAGAUCAGUUUCACCUGUUGGAUGACAUCGUAAUCUAAAAUCUUGUUCACAAGGAUGCUUGGUGUGUACAUGGUCUCAAGUCUGAAGUAUGUAUUCUGUAAAGAAAUGUUUACAUUAAAGGAAUAGUUCAUAGUUGAAGGAAUAAAGCAAA
rnacentral:lncRNA from 1 species